ACGAACGCUGGCGGCGUGCUUAACACAUGCAAGUCAAACGCUGAAGCUUGGUGCUUGCACUGGGUGGAUGAGUGGCGAACGGGUGAGUAAUACGUGAGUAACCUGCCCUUGACUCUGGGAUAAGCCUGGGAAACUGGGUCUAAUACUGGAUACGACAUGUCACCGCAUGGUGGUGUGUGGAAAGGGUUUUACUGGUUUUGGAUGGGCUCACGGCCUAUCAGCUUGUUGGUGGGGUAAUGGCUCACCAAGGCGACGACGGGUAGCCGGCCUGAGAGGGUGACCGGCCACACUGGGACUGAGACACGGCCCAGACUCCUACGGGAGGCAGCAGUGGGGAAUAUUGCACAAUGGGCGGAAGCCUGAUGCAGCGACGCCGCGUGAGGGAUGACGGCCUUCGGGUUGUAAACCUCUUUCAGCACGGAAGAAGCGAAAGUGACGGUACGUGCAGAAGAAGCGCCGGCUAACUACGUG
rnacentral:rRNA from 1 species